rnacentral:rRNA from 1 species
UCAACAACGGAUCUCUUGGCUCUCGCAUCGAUGAAGAACGCAGCGAAAUGCGAUAAGUAAUGUGAAUUGCAGAAUUCAGUGAAUCAUCGAAUCUUUGAACGCACCUUGCGCUCCUUGGUAUUCCGAGGAGCAUGCCUGUUUGAGUGUCAUUAA